rnacentral:rRNA from 1 species
GACGAACGCUGGCGGCGUGCCUAAUACAUGCAAGUAGAACGCUGAAGAGAGGAGCUUGCUCUUCUUGGAUGAGUUGCGAACGGGUGAGUAACGCGUAGGUAACCUGCCUUGUAGCGGGGGAUAACUAUUGGAAACGAUAGCUAAUACCGCAUAACAAUGGAAGACACAUGUCAUUUAUUUGAAAGGGGCAAUUGCUCCACUACAAGAUGGACCUGCGUUGUAUUAGCUAGUAGGUGAGGUAACGGCCCACCUAGGCGACGGUACAUAGCCGACCUGAGAGGGUGAUCGGCCACACUGGGACUGAGACACGGCCCAGACUCCUACGGGAGGCAGCAGUAGGGAAUCUUCGGCAAUGGGGGCAACCCUGACCGAGCAACGCCGCGUGAGUGAAGAAGGUUUUCGGAUCGUAAAGAUCUGUUGUAAGUCAAGAACGAGUGUGAGAGUGGAAAGUUCACACUGUGACGGUAGCUUACCAGAAAGGGACGGCUAACUACGUG